rnacentral:rRNA from 1 species
UACGGGGGGAACGCGAAGAACCUUACCUACUCUUGACAUCCAGAGAACUUAGCAGAGAUGGAUUGGUGCCUUCGGGAACUCUGAGACAGGUGCUGCAUGGCUGUCGUCAGCUCGUGUUGUGAAAUGUUGGGUUAAGUCCCGCAACGAGCGCAACCCUUAUCCUUUGUUGCCAGCGGUCCGGCCGGGAACUCAAAGGAGACUGCCAGUGAUAAACUGGAGGAAGGUGGGGAUGACGUCAAGUCAUCAUGGCCCUUACGAGUAGGGCUACACACGUGCUACAAUGGCGCAUACAAAGAGAAGCGAACUCGCGAGAGCAAGCGGACCUCAUAAAGUGCGUCGUAGUCCGGAUUGGAGUCUGCAACUCGACUCCAUGAAGUCGGAAUCGCUAGUAAUCGUAGAUCAGAUGCUAUUCCC